GGUCCCAUAGCUCGAUUGGUUAGAGCGUCGUACUAAUAUUAUCAUUUAUAGGAGAUAUUGUGUAAAUGCGAAGGUUGAGAGUUCAAUCCUCUCCGGGAUCA